UGGAGGUUUGUGCUAUGAGCAAAUCUGAAUCAUGGAGAGAAUGUGAAGGAAAAUGAGGAGCAGUUGAAAAAUACUCCAUAGGAAAGAAAUGAUGAGGAGACUGAGGCUCAGAAGAGUGAAUUAACUUGCUGAAGUUCACCUAGCAGGUAGAAAAAUCUGGUCAAAAGGAAAGUAAAGCCAACAUAGAAUAAUGUUGAGGAUCCCGGAAAUGAAUAAGAGAAAAAUUUAUUGGAGAACUUUAUUUGGACUGGAGGACCCAUUUGUGCAAGUGCAUUCCUUACUAAUAGGUCUUUGUUCUUGCUGUAACCCUCAGCCAGACAGGCUGUCUCUGGCAGAAGAAUACACUUCAUCAAAAGUGUCUGCAGGUUGUCAAACUCAGGGAGGUUUGGGGACCCUCUGAGGCUGUCAUGGUCAACAAGAAGAUUUUCUGUCGGGCUUUGCCAUCACUCACCCCGAGGAAAUAAUCACUCACUACAUUCUGCAUGUUCUCAUGAUAGAGCUCUCCAUUUGAGAGAAAAGAGCCAUUUUAUCAAAGGACAAUAUAGCCCUUCUCUGGGUCCACGUAGCUUCCAUUAUCAGACCAUAAUAAAUCAUAUUUAUGUUCUCAGUUAAUAAGACUGAUUACAACGCAGGUUUCAGACGUGGGAAAAGCAAAGCAGGUUGAAAAGAUGUUUUAAUGAAAAUAUGAUAAGAAAACAGCUUCUUGUGAACAUUCAGUGCUAUUAUUUGUAAUGAUUACAGACAAUUUUUGAUGCAUCUUUAGCAAUGGUUUAAGCUGCAUAAAUUGGCUCACUGGUAGAUAAGUAAAAAUAAUAAGGAAAAAAUCAUGAAAUCAUCUUAUGUUGUCUAGAAUCAUUAUGUACAUAACAAGUGCAAAAUGAGCCUAAUGUAUAUGCUGGGGAUGGAGGGAAAACAGAUUGCUCAGGAAAAGCAUGAUUUGGGUAUUAUUCAAAAUGAUUUAGAAAUUUUCUCCUCAUCUCACUUAUUAAAGGUAUGUGUGCUCUGAAAUUUGGGGGUGCCAGAUAUUAAUUUCAUCUUGUAAAUGAAUCAACUCUACCUCUUUUAUUCAAUCUCAAUGUUGUUUUUCCCUUUCUUUCUUUUUUUUCCCUCCAUGGAGCUCAAUACAGAGAUAUAUAUUUCCUACCCAGUGUUUGGACACAAUUGCCAUUAGUGCUAAUGGGAGUUAAGUGCCUACUUGGGAG